rnacentral:rRNA from 1 species
GCAAAUUGACACCGUAACUUCGGGAGAAGGUGUGCCGCUGGCGGUUAGUGACUUCGCGUCACGAAGCUGUUGGUGGUCGCAGUGAAAUGGCGGUUGUGACUGUUUACUAAAAACACAGGACUCUGCGAAGUCGUAAGACGACGUAUAGGGUCUGAUGCCUGCCCGGUGCUGGAAGGUUAAGGGGAUAUGUCAGCGCAAGCGAAGCAUUGAACCGAAGCCCCAGUAAACGGCGGCCGUAACAAUAACGGUCCUAAGGUAGCGAAAUUCCUUGUCGGGUAAGUUCCACCUGCACGAAGGCAUAACAACAUCCGCACUGUCUCGACCAGGGACUCAGCGAAAUUACAUUGGGGGUGAAGAUGCCCUCUACCCGCGGAAAGACGGAAAGACCCCAUGAACCUUUACUGCAACUUGGCAGUGAUUUUCGGGUUGUUCUGCGUAGGAUAGGUUGGAGGCUUUGAAGCCGGGCUUCCGGGUUCGGCAGAGCCAACGUUGAAAUACCACCCUGAAUAAUCUGGAACUCUAACCUGCGCCCAUGAUCUGGGCGAGGGACUCUGCCUGGUGGGCAGUUUGACUGGGGCGGUCGCCUCCUAAAUUGUAACGGAGGCGUGCGACGGUUCCCUCAGGCUGAUUGGGAACCAGCCGUAGAGUGCAAACGCAUAAGGGAGCUUUACUGCGAGACUGACAAGUCGACCAGUUGCGAAAGCAGGUGUUAGUGAUCCGGUGGUACCACAUGGAAGGGCCAUCGCUCAUCGGAUAAAAGGUACUCUGGGGAUAACAGGCUGAUCGCGCCUGAGAGUUCACAUCGGCGGCGCGGUUUGGCACCUCGAUGUCGGCUCAUCGCAUCCUGGGGCUGGAGCAGGUCCCAAGGGUUUGGCUGUUCGCCAAUUAAAGCGGUACGCGAGCUGGGUUUAAAACGUCGUGAGACAGUUUGGUCCCUAUCUUCCGUGGGCGCAGGACACUUGAGAGGAGCUAUCCAUAGUACGAGAGGACCUGGAUGGACGAGCCUCUGGUGCUCCGGUUGUCACGCCAGUGGCAUAGCCGGGUAGCCAUGUUCGGAACAGAUAACCGCUGAAGGCAUAUAAGCGGGAAGCUGGCCUCAAGACUAGGUGUCCCUGGCGCAAGUCACUAAAGGCCCCUCGAAGACUACGAGGUUGAUAGGCUCGGUGUGGAAGCACAGCGAUGUGCGGAGCUAACGAGUACUAAUAGGCCGUGCGGCUUGACCUC